rnacentral:ncRNA from 1 species
AAAAGACUUAGUCCUAACCUUACUAUUGAUUUUUGCUAGAUAUAUACAUGCAAGUAUCCGCACUCCAGUGAAAAUGCCCUUAAAACUUUAAACAAGCAAAAGGAGCAGGUAUCAGGCCCACCCAAGCGUAGCCCAAAACACCUUGCCAAAGCCACACCCCCACGGGUAUUCAGCAGUAAUUAACCUUAAGCAAUAAGUGUAAACUUGACUUAGCCAUAGCAGUUUAGGGUUGGUAAAUCUUGUGCCAGCCACCGCGGUCAUACAAGAAACCCAAAUCAAUAGUUGCCCGGCGUAAAGAGUGGCCAUAUGUUAUCUUCAACAACUAAGAUCAAAACGUAACUAAGCUGUCAUAAGCCCAUGAUCCACCUAAGCCCCCCUAAACCAUCUUAGCUAUACGAUUAAUUUAACCCCACGAAAGCCAGGGUACAAACUGGGAUUAGAUACCCCACUAUGCCUGGCCCUUAAUUCAGAUACCUAUAUACUCCUGUAUCCGCCUGAGAACUACGAGCACAAACGCUUAAAACUCUAAGGACUUGGCGGUGCCCUAAACCCACCUAGAGGAGCCUGUUCUAUAAUCGAUAAUCCACGAUCCACCCAACCACCCCUUGCCCGAACAGCCUACAUACCGCCGUCGCCAGCCCACCUAAAUGAAAGACCAAAAGUGAGCUCAAUAGCCUCCGCUAACAAGACAGGUCAAGGUAUAGCCCAUGGGGUGGAAGAAAUGGGCUACAUUUUCUAACGUAGAAUAUAAACGAAAAAGGACAUGAAACCAGUCCUUGGAAGGAGGAUUUAGCAGUAAAAUAGGACCAUACCUUUAAGCCUAUUUAAAGACGGCCCUGGGGCACGUACAUACCGCCCGUCACCCUCUUCAUAGGCCACAAGCACCAAUAAAUAAUACUUCCCCUAAAGCCAAAGACGAGGUAAGUCGUAACAAGGUAAGCGUACCGGAAGGUGCGCUUAGACUA